UGAUCGACAGAGAAAACAACAAGACGAUAGAAUCAAACCGUUCAGUCGGUGAUUCAGUCGGAAAGUGGAUUUUUCCGGCAGCAUCACAUCUCCACCGUAAGAGACGCCAUCGACGAUCUCGGUUCAUCAAUCCGAUCUCGAUUUGGUGAUCCAUACAGAUGUCGGUUCAGUGAUCUAAUCCUCUCACACAGCUACCACCAAAACAAAAACUCUCUCUUAUCUCCUCCAUUGAUUCUAUUGACACCCAUCAGGAGAUUUGUUGUGAAGAAGGACAUGAGUGGUCUUGAUCACUUGUGUUUUGGGGAUUUGCUGGCCUUAGCCAACAUGACAUCACUCUGUUUCUCCGGUCAGAUCACAAAACCUACAAGACCUGAAGUCGCAGCUCCAGAAGGUGGUCUUAUUUGCGCAAUGCCAAACAGUUGCAGAUGAGUUAUCUUACUCAACUCUUGACUGUUUAUUUAUUCAUUGAUAUCGUUGAUGGUUUUGGUUGUUGGUCUGAGCAUAUUUGGUAACGAAUCAAGAAAAAACAAGGUUUACCACAAUGCUAGUAAUGGUGAUCAAAUGGUAAAGCAUGUCGUCAAUUCUGUAGCAUACCUUGUAGUUGUAAGAGCGGGUGCCUGCACCUUCGGAAUCUGAGUGUAUUCGUAUGUAAUCCAUAUCUUGACCUCUGUAUGUCUGCAGCCACAGUUCCCUUAUAAUCUUAAUUAUUUCCUCCAUUUUCA